rnacentral:rRNA from 1 species
AGCGAACGCUGGCGGCAGGCCUAACACAUGCAAGUCGAACGAACUCUUCGGAGUUAGUGGCGGAUGGGUGUGUAACACGUGGGAACGUGCCUUUUGGUUCGGAAUAACUCAGGGAAACUUGUGCUAAUACCGAAUGUGCCCUUCGGGGGAAAGAUUUAUCGCCAUUAGAGCGGCCCGCGUCUGAUUAGCUAGUUGGUGAGGUAACGGCUCACCAAGGCGACGAUCAGUAGCUGGUCUGAGAGGAUGACCAGCCACACUGGGACUGAGACACGGCCCAGACUCCUACGGGAGGCAGCAGUGGGGAAUCUUGCGCAAUGGGCGAAAGCCUGACGCAGCCAUGCCGCGUGAAUGAUGAAGGUCUUAGGAUUGUAAAAUUCUUUCACCGGGGACGAUAAUGACGGUACCCGGAGAAGAAGCCCCGGCUAACUUCGUG